rnacentral:ncRNA from 1 species
UUGCCCAUCGGGGCUGUGGAUACCUGCUCAAAUUUU